GAUGAACGCUGGCGGCGUGCCUAAUACAUGCAAGUCGAGCGAACAGACGAGGAGCUUGCUCCUCUGACGUUAGCGGCGGACGGGUGAGUAACACGUGGAUAACCUACCUAUAAGACUGGGAUAACUUCGGGAAACCGGAGCUAAUACCGGAUAAUAUAUUGAACCGCAUGGUUCAAUAGUGAAAGACGGUUUUGCUGUCACUUAUAGAUGGAUCCGCGCCGCAUUAGCUAGUUGGUAAGGUAACGGCUUACCAAGGCAACGAUGCGUAGCCGACCUGAGAGGGUGAUCGGCCACACUGGAACUGAGACACGGUCCAGAUUCCUACGGGAGGCAGCAGUAGGGAAUCUUCCGCAAUGGGCGAAAGCCUGACGGAGCAACGCCGCGUGAGUGAUGAAGGUCUUCGGACCGUAAAACUCUGUUAUUAGGGAAGAACAAAUGUGUAAGUAACUAUGCACGUCUUGACGGUACCUAAUCAGAAAGCCACGGCUAACUACGUG
rnacentral:rRNA from 1 species